UCUGCUCGUCAAGCACCCCCGAGUUCUCAAAGAAAAGGAACCAUAUAUGAAGUUAGCCAAUCCAUAGGUCUAUCUGACAAAGUAGAUGCACUAUCCCGCAAGUUGGACCAGCUAAUGUCUAGAGAACAGCUUCCAAACUUUCCCCAAGCACAAGUUUGUGCUCUUUGUUCUAGCUCGUCUCACCCUAUUCAUGAAUGCCCUUCGGCAGCUCAA
rnacentral:lncRNA from 1 species